rnacentral:rRNA from 1 species
GACGAACGCUGGCGGCGUGCUUAACACAUGCAAGUCGAACGGAAAGGCCCUGCUUUUGUGGGGUGCUCGAGUGGCGAACGGGUGAGUAACACGUGAGUAACCUGCCCUUGACUUUGGGAUAACUUCAGGAAACUGGGGCUAAUACCGGAUAGGAGCUCCUGCUGCAUGGUGGGGGUUGGAAAGUUUCGGCGGUUGGGGAUGGACUCGCGGCUUAUCAGCUUGUUGGUGGGGUAGUGGCUUACCAAGGCUUUGACGGGUAGCCGGCCUGAGAGGGUGACCGGCCACCUUGGGCCUGAGAUACGGCCCAGACUCCUACGGUAGGCAGAAGUGGGGAAUAUUGCACAAUGGGCGGACGCCUGAUGCAGAAACGCCGCGUGCGGGAUGACGGCCUUCGGGUUGUAAACCGCUUUCGCCUGUGACGAAGCGUGAGUGACGGUAAUGGGUAAAGAAGCACCGGCUAACUACGUG